UUUUAGGGAAAUUCUCUAUGGUAGCAUUAUGUUUUUAUAAAUUCUCAAUGGUAACAAAAUUAUUGGCAUUUUCUCAAAAAUAGCAUUAAUAAUACACAUUUUCUCUAAUCUAGCAUUAUUGCAGUAAUUUCAACAUAAUUUACUAAUAUAAUAUUAACUAUGGUUAAAAAUCAGUUAAAUUAAUUACCCUAUUUUACUAUCCUCAAUUAAUCAAACCAAAAUGUCUCCAACAUUCACGAUUAAAGUCCUCUGCAAGACUGCAACCCUUCAUUUUUUUUCCAGUUUUCUCAAUCGAUUCAAGCUGAUGACAUUUUCACGUUCUUCUCCAAAAUUAAACGAACUUGGGACCGAUGGAUGGAGCUCAUUGAUGCAUUCGAAAUGGUGAGAGAAAAAAUGCUAGUAUAGAUUGCUAAUAGAAGAGGAGAAGUGCAUUGUACAGAAAUAACUGAGAAUUUUCUUACAAUAUAACUGGAUCAAUUGAGAAAAGCAGAAAGAAGAUCAUUUAUACUGCAUAUAAUAUUACAGCCUUAGAAUUGAGAUGGGAAGCAGCUCAGUCUGAAGUUGUAGAAUUCAAGAGAUGGUCAGCAGCUCACUCGUUUUAUACUGUUAUUGUAGCAUAAUUAGUUUGUUACUUAGUGUAAUUAAUCGAUUAAAUAUAUGCUUUAUUAUUUGGCUGGAAAUCUGGCAGUCUUGUAACAAUGGAAUUUAAUCCUCUGUGUAAAUAUUUAUCAGUGGAUGAAUGAAGAGAAUAUAAAUUUUGUGGUGAA